rnacentral:rRNA from 1 species
UACGGGGGGGGCAAGCGUUGUUCGGAAUUACUGGGCGUAAAGGGCGCGUAGGCGGCUCGGCACGUCCGUUGUGAAAUCGCCCGGCUCAACUGGGCGGGGUCAGCGGAUACGGCCGAGCUUGAGCAAGCUAGGGGGCAAUGGAAUUCCCGGUGUAGUGGUGGAAUGCGUAGAUAUCGGGAGGAACACCGGUGGCGAAGGCGGCGACCUGGGUAGAUACUGACGCUGAGGCGCGAAAGCGUGGGGAGCAAACAGG